rnacentral:rRNA from 1 species
UACGGGAGGCAGCAGUGGGGAAUAUUGCACAAUGGGCGAAAGCCUGAUGCAGCUAUGCCGCGUGUAUGAAGAAGGCCUUAGGGUUGUAAAGUACUUUCAUCGGGGAGGAAAAAACAAAACUAAUAAUUUUAUUUCUUGACGUUACCCGAAAAAGAAGCACCGGCUAACUCCGUGCCAGCAGCCGCGGUAAUACGGAGGGUGCUAGCGUUAAUCAGAAUUACUGGGCGUAAAGAGCACGUAGGUGGUUUUUUUAAGUCAGAUGUGAAAUCCCUGGGCUUAACCUAGGAACUGCAUUUUGAAACUGAAAUACUAGAGUAUCGUAGAGGGAGGUAGAAUUCUAGGUGUAGCGGUGAAAUGCGUAGAUAUCUGGAGGAAUACCUGUGGCGAAAGCGGCCUCCUAAACGAAUACUGACACUGAGGUGCGAAAGCGUGGGGAGCAAACAGGGAUUAGGAU